rnacentral:misc_RNA from 1 species
CAAGGGUUAAAGUUAAGAAUAGCUAUUGUAUUUUUAAUUUAUUCCGUGCUACUCCAUGGACCAAACCAAGUCAUUAAUUCCAGUCACAAAAUUCCCACACCAUAUGUUACAAUCUGUGAAGAUUUUGCAGGAAAUUUCACUACUUGUGUUAUGUAAAUGUGCAUCAGCCUCCAAUGCUAGCUAGCCAAUGUCCCUUAUACAAAUUAAUCUUUAAUCAAAAGAUGAGGGAAGGUUUCUACAAGACUAACUAAUGUAAAAAAAAAAUUUUAAUGCAUAAAAUAUAAAACUUGUUUUGGCAUCAGCCUCACGUCCAAAUCUCAGAACGAGCAACGAAAAAGAGAGAAGAUUUUGUUAAGCUUCAGUAUAAAUGCCUCAUGCUUGCAGAAAGAGAUCGCUUCUACAAAUUCUGAAAAUGUAAGUUCCAUCUUCACCAAGUUGUUAUCCCUGAGACAUAGUGGGUCAACCUAUAAUCAUACCAACAAAUAGUGAUGUCUGUUAUGUUGGCAAAUAUGGAUUAUCUUCUUUGGUUUUCAUACUUCCGAUCCUCUCCAUCUGGGCAACCAGUAGUUCGUGCACUUUAACUUUUAGCUCAUUGAGUCCUUCUCCACUCGUUGCAGACACAUGGAUUGCUCCAUUGGGUCCCAUUUUAUGGUACCUUGCCAUUUCCAAAUUACUACCAUUGCUAUCUUCUGCAAUGAAGACCACAGGAGAUUCUUGCAAGAGAUCACAUUUAGAGACAACAUCAAGCCAAAGAUGAUCAUUGAAUCUCUCUUUAAUUUCUUUGUAUAUCUCAAACUGAUCAGAAGCUGAGGUCCCACAUUCUCCAGUGAGAUCAUGAACAUAAAGUAUUGCUGUUGGCAAGUGUGUGAGGACAGCAAGCGUUAAUUUUUCCAAAUUGUUCCUGUCCUCAUCACAUCUCUUUAGAAGUCCUGGGGUGUCUGUCACCUGCAGUUAGUUUGAGUACAUAUAAACAAACUAAUUGGGGAAAAAGCAGAUUGCCAACAGCUAACCAUAUCUUAAACAAAUUAAGAUGAAAAAGACAAAGAAACUAGAGAGAGAUUAACCUGAAAAUGCUGGAAGUCAAAAGCAAUAUGGCCCAUUAGAAUUCCCCUAGUUGUGAAAGGGUAAUUACAAACCUGACUCCAAGACCAAAUAAAGCAGAGGAAAAUGUCACUAUUAACAACAAGAACAGCAUAACUCAAUUCUAUGUAAAUUUCAUUCAACAUCACAUUCAAGUAGAUGUGCGUCAUACUUUAUCUUCAACAGUCUAGCUGAAAAUAUGAAAAUCCAAAAAACAAAAACAAUCCACAAAAUCAGAAUUUAAGUUUCAAAACCUCUUUAUUAACAAAACACAGAUCUCUCCAAGGUUCUUUAGUUUCUUGUGUGUUUAACCAUAAACAUUGAGUUGUCAUAAUUGGAGAGUUUGGAUGUGUUGAUGUUUGCCGGAGGCCUGGAGAUGAAUAGCGUUCAAAAUAUCCAUUUAAGAUAGAGCCCAACCAACUUGGGUUUUUGAUAUCCUUUCAAAUGAUCAAUGUUUCUUUAAGGAUCAAUAUCAAAACCACAAAGAAAAAAUCAUAAUCACUGGACAUCUGCACAAACCUCAGGCUUCCCUGUUGAAAGUAUCCGAACCAAGGACGACUUUCCUACAUUAGGAGCUCCAACAAGACAAAGAGUUGGUGUUUCUAGAUCGACCACUGGCAUAGCCCGCAAAGUCUUGGCAAUGUUGAAUAAAGCAUCAACUGCCUUUCCUUCACGUUUAAAAGUUUCUUCAAGCUUUUCCAGACCCUGCAGAUAUUAAUAGACUGUUGUCACAGAUAUUACCAGAUGUGAGAAGCAAGCAGAUAACAACUUACCUCAUUCAACCGCUCCAAAGCCUCUCGUUUCGUUAGAGACUUAGCACAUACUGAAGCGUGUUCCUUUCCAACAGACAACACCUUUUUCCUCAAAGCAUCUACUUUUCUCAACACCUGUCAAACCUUAGCUGAAUCUCUUCAUAAUUUCCAUCACCAAGGGUUAACUCAAUAAGUGACUGUUCAUAAGGAUGCAAAUAUCUCCUUUUAGGGAAGUUCUCCAAAUAUUCCCUUAACGGAACUGCCAAUUCUUUCAUCAAUGCAUCAAGUUGCUUUGCACCUUUAUUUCUCUCUCGCUUGGCAAUAUUAGCAAUGCCUUUUGUAGGAGGGACCCUCUUUGCCUUCCUCAAUGCUGAAUAAAGAAUAUCAACUGAUGGCAUCACCAUUGGUAGCUUUUGAAAUGCACCAACUGUUUCAAGUAUUUCUGGUGCUUUAUCUGUGGUUUUCUUCUGCUGUUGUUGUUUAGUCGUGGGAGUGGGUACGUAGCUUGCAUUCACAAUAUCAUACGUAACUGUCUGAAUACGUCUACAAAAGCAUGAAGUUGGGCAUUUUGUUAUUCCUGCCUUCACGAAUAGACCUGGAGAAAAAUUUGAGCUUCUUAGCAGAAAUUUGGUGGAGCUAAUCUGCCGUAGCUGCAAGAUACUUAAUGCUCUAGUCAUCUCUUCUAUAUCUCUGUGUCUGU